UAUGUGAUCGUCUCUCGCAUAUCAAUAAGCGGAGGAAAAGAAACUAACAAGGAUUCCCCUAGUAACGGCGAGUGAAGCGGGAAGAGCUCAAAUUUGAAAUCUUAAAGGGUUUCCCUUUACGAAUUGUAGUUUAAAGAAGUGUUUUCUGUUGAGGUUUUGGUAAAAGUUCUUUGGAAUAGGGACAUCAUAGAGGGUGAGAAUCCCGUAUUUGACCUUUACUUUCAACUUUGUGAUACACUUUCAAUGAGUCGGAUUGUUUGGGAAUGCAGUCCAAAAUGGGUGGUAAAUUUCAUCUAAAGCUAAAUAUUGGCGAGAGACCGAUAGCGAACAAGUACCGUGAGGGAAAGAUGAAAAGAACUUUGAAAAGAGAGUUAAACAGUACGUGAAAUUGUCAAAAGGGAAGCGUUUGACACCAGUGUUGUUUUUCUGAAAAUCAAUUAAAGAACUGUUUAUGCUAAGCUGUUUAGACUUUAUCAGCUAUCUGUUUAGUUUUGAGCUUUUCUUUAAUGCACUUUUCAGUUAACAAGUCAACAUCAAUUUCUUUUGCUGUAAAAAAGCUUGAGGAAGGUGGCUUGAGAUUCGUCUUAAGUGUUUAUAGCCUCUUGCCUAUGCAGUCGGAGAGAUUGAGGUCUGCAGCGUAGAUCCUUCGGGGCUAAAUGCAUUUGUGCUAAGUUAUAGCAUUUUAUAGACAACUUGUUGACUAUGAUUUGUCUUGUAGCUUACUCGCUUAUGUUAUUUUACCUACGCUUAGGAUGUUGAACGCGCACAGAGUCUC
rnacentral:rRNA from 1 species